rnacentral:rRNA from 1 species
AACGAACGCUGGCGGCAUGCCUAACACAUGCAAGUCGAACGAGACCUUCGGGUCUAGUGGCGCACGGGUGCGUAACGCGUGGGAACCUGCCCUUAGGUUCGGAAUAACUCCCCGAAAGGGGUGCUAAUACCGGAUAAUGUCUUCGGACCAAAGAUUUAUCGCCUUUGGAUGGGCCCGCGUUGGAUUAGCUAGUUGGUAGGGUAAAAGCCUACCAAGGCGACGAUCCAUAGCUGGUCUGAGAGGAUGAUCAGCCACACUGGGACUGAGACACGGCCCAGACUCCUACGGGAGGCAGCAGUGGGGAAUAUUGGACAAUGGGCGAAAGCCUGAUCCAGCAAGGCCGCGUGAGUGAUGAAGGCCUUAGGGUUGUAAAGCUCUUUUACCCGGGAUGAUAAGGACAGUACCGGGAGAAGAAGCUCCGGCUAACUCCGU